rnacentral:rRNA from 1 species
GAUGAACGCUGGCGGCGUGCUUAACACAUGCAAGUCGAACGAGAAAUGGAGACGGAAACCUUCGGGCGGAAGGCUUCAUUUCGAGUGGCGGACGGGUGAGUAACGCGUGGGUAACCUGCCUCAUACAGGGGGAUAACAGUUGGAAACGACUGUUAAUACCGCAUAAGACCACAGCACCGCAUGGUGCGGGGGUAAAAACUCCGGUGGUAUGAGAUGGACCCGCGUUCGAUUAGCCAGUUGGCGGGGUAACGGCCCACCAAAGCGACGAUCGAUAGCCGAUCUGAGAGGAUGACCGGCCACAUUGGGACUGAGACACGGCCCAAACUCCGACGGGAGGCAGCAGUGGGGAAUAUUGCACAAUGGGGGAAACCCUGAUGCAGCGACGCCGCGUGAGUGAAGAAGUACUUCGGUAUGUAAAGCUCUAUCAGCAGGGAAGAAAAUGACGGUACCUGAGUAAGAAGCCCCGGCUAACUACGUG